rnacentral:rRNA from 1 species
GGGAGGGUGCAAGCGUUGUUCGGAAUCAUUGGGCGUAAAGCGCGUGUAGGCGGUUAUCUAAGUCUGGUGUGAAAGCCCGGGGCUUAACUCCGGAAGUGCACUGGAUACUGGAUAACUAGAGGACGAGAGAGGUGAGUGGAAUUCCUGGUGUAGGGGUGAAAUCCGUAGAUAUCAGGAGGAACAUCAGCGGCGAAGGCGGCUCACUGGCUCGUAACUGACGCUGAGACGCGAAAGCGUGGGGGAGCAAACAGGAUUAGAUACCCUGGUAGUCCACGCCCUAAACGAUGGAUACUAGUCGUCGGGAUUCCUAAUUGUCUCGGUUGACGACGCUAACGCAUUAAGUAUCCCGCCUGGGAUUACGGUGCAAGACUA